AUUGAACGCUGGCGGCAGGCUUAACACAUGCAAGUCGAGCGGAGUGAUGGUGCUUGCACUAUCACUUAGCGGCGGACGGGUGAGUAAUGCUUAGGAAUCUGCCUAUUAGUGGGGGACAACAUCUCGAAAGGGAUGCUAAUACCGCAUACGUCCUACGGGAGAAAGCAGGGGAUCACUUGUGACCUUGCGCUAAUAGAUGAGCCUAAGUCGGAUUAGCUAGUUGGUGGGGUAAAGGCCUACCAAGGCGACGAUCUGUAGCGGGUCUGAGAGGAUGAUCCGCCCCACUGGGACUGAGACACGGCCCAGAAUCCUACGGGAGGCAGCAGUGGGGAAUAUUGGACGAUGGGGGGAACCCUGAUCCAGCCAUGCCGCGUGUGUGAAGAAGGCCUUAUGGUUGUAAAGCACUUUAAGCGAGGAGGAGGCUCUUUUGGUUAAUACCCAAGAUGAGUGGACGUUACUCGCAGAAUAAGCACCGGCUAACUCUGUGCCAGCCGCCGCAGUAAUAC
rnacentral:rRNA from 1 species